UACGGAGGGUGCAAGCGUUAUCCGGAUUUAUUGGGUUUAAAGGGUGCGUAGGCGGCUUUAUAAGUCGAUGGUUAAAGGCAGCAGCUUAACUGUAUGCAUGCCCUCGAUACUGUAGAGCUUGAGUGAUUUGGAGGUGGCUAGAAUUCCCUGUGUAGCGGUGAAAUGCAUAGAUACGGGGAGGAAUACCGAUUGCGAAGGCAUGUCACUACGAAUUAACUGACGCUGAGGCACGAAAGCGUGGGGAUCAAACAGG
rnacentral:rRNA from 1 species